UACGUAGGGUGCGAGCGUUAAUCGGAAUUACUGGGCGUAAAGUGUGCGCAGGCGGCCGAGCAAGUCGAGUGUGAAAGCCCCGAGCUUAACUUGGGAACUGCGCUCGAAACUACUUGGCUAGAGUGUGGCAGAGGGAGGUGGAAUUCCACGUGUAGCGGUGAAAUGCGUAGAGAUGUGGAGGAACACCGAUGGCGAAGGCAGCCUCCUGGGCCAACACUGACGCUCAUGCACG
rnacentral:rRNA from 1 species